rnacentral:ncRNA from 1 species
CAAAGGCUUGGUCCUGACUUUACUAUCAGCUUAAACCCAACUUAUACAUGCAAGUAUCCGCACCCCCGUGAGAAUGCCCCCAACCCCCCGUCCGGGGGCGGGGAGCAGGCAUCAGGCCCCUCGCUACUCAGCCCAAGACGCCUUGCUUUGCCACACCCCCAAGGGAACUCAGCAGUAAUAAACAUUAAGCCAUGAGCGAAAGCUCGACUUAGUUAGGGUUAUUAGGGCCGGUAAAACUCGUGCCAGCCACCGCGGUUAUACGAGAGACCCAAGUAGAUAGCCGCGGCGUAAAAAGUGGUUAAGGAACAAAACAAAUAGAGCCGAACACCCUCUAGGCUGUUAUACGCUCUCCGAGGCCACGAAGCCCCCUUACGAAAGUAGCUCUACCAUAAACCACCUGAACCCACGAAAGCUGAGAAACAAACUGGGAUUAGAUACCCCACUAUGCUUAGCCGUAAACAUCGAUGUUAGCCUACAGCCAUCAUCCGCCAGGGUACUACAAGCAUCAGCUUAAAACCCAAAGGACUUGGCGGUGCUUCAGACCCACCUAGAGGAGCCUGUUCUAGAACCGAUAAUCCCCGUUCAACCUCACCACCCCUAGCCCUCCCCCGCCUAUAUACCGCCGUCGUCAGCUUACCCCGUGAGGGCCAAAACAGUGAGCACAAUGGGCAAACCCCAAAACGUCAGGUCGAGGUGUAGCGAAUGAGGUGGAAAGAAAUGGGCUACAUUUUCUACAAUAGAACACCACGGACAGCAAACUGAAACAGUUACUUAAAGGUGGAUUUAGCAGUAAAAAGAAAACAGAAAGUCCUUUUGAACCAGGCUCUGAAGCGCGCACACACCGCCCGUCACCCUCCCCUCAAUCCCUUAAUAAAGUAAUUAACACCAAAAACACCAUCACGGGGAGGCAAGUCGUAACAUGGUAAGUGUACCGGAAGGUGCACUUGGAAAAAU